UCAAAUCAAAAACCCAUUUUCCCAAUUCCCUUUUACUUCUCGCCAUUCUCCUUCUUCUUCCUUCUCAUUCCUUCUCUUUCUUUCUCAUGAAAACCGACCUUCUCUUAUCUCUAAAUCCUUCCCUUUUCCUUCUUCUUCUUUCGUAUAAUCAAGGUAUCAUAUUCACGCCAUUUUCAAGCGAAUUCCAUCUCUUCUUCCAUUCAAUUUCCAUUUGAAAUUAGGGUGGAGAACGGUUCUUUUGGGCUUCGAAAUUUAGGGCAAAAACAAGCUUCAAUCACCUUAUACAUCCGAACUCACAAGAGACCACAUGUAUUUCUCAAUCUCCUUCUUCUUCCUCUGAAUUUCGAAAAGCUGCGUGAAAUCAAAGUAGCAACCGAAAUCUUUCCCCUUGUCUUUGAAUUCUGCCGGUUUAAGGGGGAAAGAGGGAGCUUCAAUCUUGUGGAUUAAACAUCAAAUUCAAAUCAAGAAUCAAGCAUUGAAUCCGAUUUCCAUCUCGUUUUUCUUGAUAGCUGGAACAGAAGGUAGUUCUCUUGAACCUUCUCUGUUUUCUUGAUGAGUAUACGUUUAUUCAUAAGCUUCCAUUGAAUAAUUUACUAAUCAUGUGUUAAACCCUAAAUUUUAGUGAAUCUUGAAAUUUAUAAUUAAUUGGAUGAGUUAUGUUGAUUCGGAGUAUUAACUAGAUAUGAGAUAUUGGAUAAUUACUUGUUAGGGAUUAGGAAUUAUGGCAAAUAAUGAUGAUGAGAAUGUAGGUGUGGAUUAUGAUUUUGGUAAUAGAUUAUCUGAAUGAUAUAGUUUGGUUUGUUCUGUAUUCUUGGAUAACCUUCGAUUUAUGGUGCAUAAUUGGAGGACCCUCAUUCUUUGCUUUAUAUGAUCAGCUACCCUUGGUCCAUUCAAUGAAUGAUAACGUUGUUUGAGAGAAAUUAUUUGAAUGAUGUAUCAUUAUUUCGACAAAGUGCAUGCUUAUGGUACUACACAACAGCAAUGUUAAAAACUUAAUCCCAACACAAUCAGUGCAACGUAAAUGCAUUAUGCAUAUUUAUGGUAGAUUUUAGAAAUGAAGUACAGCAAGUAAAACUUGUAGGUUCCUUGUUAUGUUUAGGCUCUUUGGUACUUAGAGUGGCAGCUUGAUUUGCUUAUACUUUGGGCCUUAACAAGCAAAGUUUCAAAAAUGAAGGAUAAGAAGCAGAAGCUGAUGAAAAAGGGACUUUCUGUAUGUCCAUUGUUAUGUCUGGGUUCUGUUAUCGGCUAUCCAAUAACUGUGAUCGUUUAAAAUUUUUUUAAAUGAUUAAAUUGUUUUCUUGAUUGUUUGGCAGCUUGCAGAAGCGUUGUAUGAGUAUGGUAAGGGUAAUGAUGAGGCUGCGCUACAAAAGUUGGGUUCAGAUUUUGAUGCUUGCGACUAUAAGGUGAUUGGGGCAUCUGAUGAACAAAUUGACGUGUUUAAUGAAGUUUGGUAUAGCCUACUACUGAAUACGGGAAAAGCUGCCAAAGUGAUCGAGGUCAUUGAGAGACGAGUUGAAACAAGGGAUGGUGUACCCUUUUUAUGGCGUUUACUGGUAUGUGUUUUGAAUCUCAAUUUCUUGUAUUUUUAGCAACAAAUAAGUGGGAAAUACUCCUAGUAAACUUUUUAGCAACAAAUAAAUUUUUAGCAACAAGCUUUUUCACUUUCUGCAUAUAUAAAACUUCAGAAGUAUUAGUAGGAGUAUGUCUUUGAUCUCUUAAUGCUUGAACUGAUGCUAUGGUAUUAGAAUUCCUGCUAGUAUGAUUCUCCCAUCACUUGCACAUACAGUAUGAUUCUCCCACUUUGUUGCAUCAGUUCUCAAACUUCCUUCUCUUGGGAGCUGAAUUUGGAUAGAAGGCAGUAGCAGAAAGUGUUGAUGUUUCAUCAGUUCUCAACCUUUCAUGUAGGCACUUGAUGGAGCUAAUGAAGAAGAGGAAUAUAUUGGUGCUUUAUUUGCUAUUUCUACAACGUCGAACGUCCUGAUUUAGACUAUGCUAUAUAUGUUGUAAAGGGAGUAGUAUGACCAUUUUUUUUCAAGCUCCUAUAUAUUAUUCUCGUAUCUGUGUUUGGACUGUGAACGAUGAUAGUUUGGACUGUGGCAUAUAUAUGGCAUAUUUUAUGGAGCAAUAUGAGGGGACAAUGAACAUAGACCCACUCUAUGAGCUUGCAGAUAGAAGGCUUUACUGGGCUAUAAUAUUAACAAGGAUUCUGCUAAGCGAUUUGAACAUGGACCAAGAUAAAUUGGUCAUGCUGGCGAAGCAGUUCGCAGUUGAAAAGUCCCAAAGAUUGCCAGAAAUUCUUG